CAGUAGCCGCGGUAAUACGGAGGGUGCAAGCGUUAUCCGGAUUUAUUGGGUUUAAAGGGUCCGUAGGCGGAUCUGUAAGUCAGUGGUGAAAUCUCACAGCUUAACUGUGAAACUGCCAUUGAUACUGCAGGUCUUGAGUAAAUUUGAAGUGGCUGGAAUAAGUAGUGUAGCGGUGAAAUGCAUAGAUAUUACUUAGAACACCAAUUGCGAAGGCAGGUCACUAAGAUUUAACUGACGCUGAUGGACGAAAGCGUGGGGAGCGAACAGGAUUAGAGACCCCUGUAGUCCCUGUCUCUUAUAC
rnacentral:rRNA from 1 species